rnacentral:rRNA from 1 species
GAUGAACGCUAGCGGCAGGCCUAACACAUGCAAGUCGAGGGGUAACAGGAAAGCUUGCUUUUGCUGACGACCGGCGCACGGGUGCGUAACGCGUAUGCAACCUACCUCAUACAGGAGAAUAGCCCUUGGAAACGAGGAUUAAUACUCCAUGGUAUCAUUUUUUCGCAUGUUAAAAUGAUUAAAGAAUUUCGGUAUGAGAUGGGCAUGCGUCCCAUUAGCUAGUUGGUGAGGUAACGGCUCACCAAGGCGACGAUGGGUAGGGGGCCUGAGAGGGUGGUCCCCCACACUGGUACUGAGACACGGACCAGACUCCUACGGGAGGCAGCAGUGAGGAAUAUUGGUCAAUGGAGGCAACUCUGAACCAGCCAUGCCGCGUGAAGGAUGACGGCCCUAUGGGUUGUAAACUUCUUUUAUAUGGGAAGAAACUUAUCUACGUGUAGAUAACUGACGGUACCAUACGAAUAAGGAUCGGCUAACUCCGUGCCAAAAGG